AUUGAACGCUGGCGGCAUGCCUAACACAUGCAAGUCGAGCGGAGCGGCGGACGGGUGAUUAAUGCCUAGUAAUCUGCCUGUUAGUGGGGGCUAACGUCCGGAAACUGGCGCUUAUACCGCAUACUAUCAGAUGAGCCUAGUUCGGAUUAGCUAGUUGGUGGGGUAAAGGCCUACAAAGGCGACGAUCCGUAACUGGUCUGAGAGGAUGAUCAGUCACACUGGAACUGAGACACGGUCCAGACGCCUACGGGAGGCAGCAGUGGGGAAUAUUGGACAAUGGGCGAAAGCCUGAUCCAGCCAUGCCGCGUGUGUGAAGAAGGGAUUCGGAUUGUAAAGCACUUUAAGUUGGGAGGCGUUACCAACAGAAUAAGCACCGGCUAACUUCGUGCCAGCAGCCGCGGUAAUAC
rnacentral:rRNA from 1 species